rnacentral:rRNA from 1 species
GAUGAACGCUGGCGGCGUGCCUAAUACAUGCAAGUCGAACGCAUAGCGAAAGGUGCUUGCACCUUUCAAGUGAGUGGCGAACGGGUGAGUAACACGUGGACAACCUGCCUCAAGGCUGGGGAUAACAUUUGGAAACAGAUGCUAAUACCGAAUAAAACUUAGUGUCGCAUGACACAAAGUUAAAAGGCGCUUCGGCGUCACCUAGAGAUGGAUCCGCGGUGCAUUAGUUAGUUGGUGGGGUAAAGGCCUACCAAGACAAUGAUGCAUAGCCGAGUUGAGAGACUGAUCGGCCACAUUGGGACUGAGACACGGCCCAAACUCCUACGGGAGGCUGCAGUAGGGAAUCUUCCACAAUGGGCGAAAGCCUGAUGGAGCACCGCCGCGUGUGUGAUGAAGGCUUUCGGGUCGUAAAGCACUGUUGUAUGGGAAGAACAGCUAGAAUAGGAAAUGAUUUUAGUUUGACGGUACCAGACCAGAAAGGGACGGCUAAAUACGUG